CCUCCAUGAAGUUGGAUUCGCUAGUAAUCGCGCAUCAGCCAUGGCGCGGUGAAUACGUUCCCGGGCCUUGUACACACCGCCCGUCAAGCCAUGGAAGCUGGGGGUGCCUGAAGUUCGUGACCGGAAGGAGCGACCUAGGGCAAAACCGGUGACUGGGGCUAAGUCGUAACAAGGUAAC
rnacentral:rRNA from 1 species